rfam:Desulfotomaculum australicum DSM 11792 genome assembly, contig: EJ60DRAFT_scaffold00019.19
GCAAACCCAAUGCAGGGGUAGAGUAGCCAGAAGGGCCUUUUCAGAGAGCCGGUGGUUGCUGUGAACCGGUAAGGUGUCUGGUGAAAGAGCUCCCCGAAGGGGACCUGCUGAAAACAGAAGUAGGCAGGUACGGGUCAGUUCCGUUAUCACGUUUGAGGGGGCAGGUAAGUGGGUUAAUCUUGCCUGUCAAGUAGGGUGGCACCGCGGGAGUAUCCUCUCGUCCCUGUU